GUCUAUGCUUAUGCCACCCUGAACAAGCCUGAUGUCUGAUUUCGGAAGCUAAGCAGUGUUGAGCCUGCUUAGUACUUGGAUGGGAGACCACCUAGGAAGACCAGAUGCUGUAGGCA
rfam:Pteropus alecto contig94337, whole genome shotgun sequence.